GGUUAAGCGACUAAGCGUACACGGUGGAUGCCCUGGCAGUCAGAGGCGAUGAAGGACGUGCUAAUCUGCGAUAAGCGUCGGUAAGGUGAUAUGAACCGUUAUAACCGGCGAUUUCCGAAUGGGGAAACCCAGUGUGAUUCGUCACACUAUCAUUAACUGAAUCCAUAGGUUAAUGAGGCGAACCGGGGGAACUGAAACAUCUAAGUACCCCGAGGAAAAGAAAUCAACCGAGAUUCCCCCAGUAGCGGCGAGCGAACGGGGAGGAGCCCAGAGCCUGAAUCAGUGUGUGUGUUAGUGGAAGCGUCUGGAAAGGCGCGCGAUACAGGGUGACAGCCCCGUACACAAAAAUGCACAUACUGUGAGCUCGAUGAGUAGGGCGGGACACGUGGUAUCCUGUCUGAAUAUGGGGGACCAUCCUCCAAGGCUAAAUACUCCUGACUGACCGAUAGUGAACCAGUACCGUGAGGGAAAGGCGAAAAGAACCCCGGCGAGGGGAGUGAAAAAGAACCUGAAACCGUGUACGUACAAGCAGUGGGAGCCUCUUUUAUGGGGUGACUGCGUACCUUUUGUAUAAUGGGUCAGCGACUUAUAUUCUGUAGCAAGGUUAACCGAAUAGGGGAGCCGAAGGGAAACCGAGUCUUAACCGGGCGUUAAGUUGCAGGGUAUAGACCCGAAACCCGGUGAUCUAGCCAUGGGCAGGUUGAAGGUUGGGUAACACUAACUGGAGGACCGAACCGACUAAUGUUGAAAAAUUAGCGGAUGACUUGUGGCUGGGGGUGAAAGGCCAAUCAAACCGGGAGAUAGCUGGUUCUCCCCGAAAGCUAUUUAGGUAGCGCCUCGUGAAUUCAUCUCCGGGGGUAGAGCACUGUUUCGGCAAGGGGGUCAUCCCGACUUACCAACCCGAUGCAAACUGCGAAUACCGGAGAAUGUUAUCACGGGAGACACACGGCGGGUGCUAACGUCCGUCGUGAAGAGGGAAACAACCCAGACCGCCAGCUAAGGUCCCAAAGUCAUGGUUAAGUGGGAAACGAUGUGGGAAGGCCCAGACAGCCAGGAUGUUGGCUUAGAAGCAGCCAUCAUUUAAAGAAAGCGUAAUAGCUCACUGGUCGAGUCGGCCUGCGCGGAAGAUGUAACGGGGCUAAACCAUGCACCGAAGCUGCGGCAGCGACACUGUGUGUUGUUGGGUAGGGGAGCGUUCUGUAAGCCUGUGAAGGUGUACUGUGAGGUAUGCUGGAGGUAUCAGAAGUGCGAAUGCUGACAUAAGUAACGAUAAAGCGGGUGAAAAGCCCGCUCGCCGGAAGACCAAGGGUUCCUGUCCAACGUUAAUCGGGGCAGGGUGAGUCGACCCCUAAGGCGAGGCCGAAAGGCGUAGUCGAUGGGAAACAGGUUAAUAUUCCUGUACUUGGUGUUACUGCGAAGGGGGGACGGAGAAGGCUAUGUUGGCCGGGCGACGGUUGUCCCGGUUUAAGCGUGUAGGCUGGUUUUCCAGGCAAAUCCGGAAAAUCAAGGCUGAGGCGUGAUGACGAGGCACUACGGUGCUGAAGCAACAAAUGCCCUGCUUCCAGGAAAAGCCUCUAAGCAUCAGGUAACAUCAAAUCGUACCCCAAACCGACACAGGUGGUCAGGUAGAGAAUACCAAGGCGCUUGAGAGAACUCGGGUGAAGGAACUAGGCAAAAUGGUGCCGUAACUUCGGGAGAAGGCACGCUGAUAUGUAGGUGAAGUCCCUCGCGGAUGGAGCUGAAAUCAGUCGAAGAUACCAGCUGGCUGCAACUGUUUAUUAAAAACACAGCACUGUGCAAACACGAAAGUGGACGUAUACGGUGUGACGCCUGCCCGGUGCCGGAAGGUUAAUUGAUGGGGUCAGCGCAAGCGAAGCUCUUGAUCGAAGCCCCGGUAAACGGCGGCCGUAACUAUAACGGUCCUAAGGUAGCGAAAUUCCUUGUCGGGUAAGUUCCGACCUGCACGAAUGGCGUAAUGAUGGCCAGGCUGUCUCCACCCGAGACUCAGUGAAAUUGAACUCGCUGUGAAGAUGCAGUGUACCCGCGGCAAGACGGAAAGACCCCGUGAACCUUUACUAUAGCUUGACACUGAACAUUGAGCCUUGAUGUGUAGGAUAGGUGGGAGGCUUUGAAGUGUGGACGCCAGUCUGCAUGGAGCCGACCUUGAAAUACCACCCUUUAAUGUUUGAUGUUCUAACGUGGACCCGUGAUCCGGGUUGCGGACAGUGUCUGGUGGGUAGUUUGACUGGGGCGGUCUCCUCCUAAAGAGUAACGGAGGAGCACGAAGGUUGGCUAAUCCUGGUCGGACAUCAGGAGGUUAGUGCAAUGGCAUAAGCCAGCUUGACUGCGAGCGUGACGGCGCGAGCAGGUGCGAAAGCAGGUCAUAGUGAUCCGGUGGUUCUGAAUGGAAGGGCCAUCGCUCAACGGAUAAAAGGUACUCCGGGGAUAACAGGCUGAUACCGCCCAAGAGUUCAUAUCGACGGCGGUGUUUGGCACCUCGAUGUCGGCUCAUCACAUCCUGGGGCUGAAGUAGGUCCCAAGGGUAUGGCUGUUCGCCAUUUAAAGUGGUACGCGAGCUGGGUUUAGAACGUCGUGAGACAGUUCGGUCCCUAUCUGCCGUGGGCGCUGGAGAACUGAGGGGGCUGCUCCUAGUACGAGAGGACCGGAGUGGACGCAUCACUGGUGUUCGGGUUGUCAUGCCAAUGGCACUGCCCGGUAGCUAAAUGCGGAAGAGAUAAGUGCUGAAAGCAUCUAAGCACGAAACUUGCCCCGAGAUGAGUUCUCCCUGACCCUUUAAGGGUCCUGAAGGAACGUUGAAGACGACGACGUUGAUAGGCCGGGUGUGUAAGCGCAGCGAUGCGUUGAGCUAACCGGUACUAAUGAACCGUGAGGCUUAACCUUACAACGCCGAAGGUGUUUUG
rnacentral:rRNA from 1 species